UACGGGGGGGGCAAGCGUUGUUCGGAAUUACUGGGCGUAAAGGGCUCGUAGGCGGCCAACUAAGUCAUACGUGAAAUCCCUCGGCUUAACCGGGGAACUGCGUCUGAUACUGGAUGGCUUGAGUUCGGGAGAGGGAUGCGGAAUUCCAGGUGUAGCGGUGAAAUGCGUAGAUAUCUGGAGGAACACCCGGUGGCGAAGGCGGCAUCCUGGACCGAUACUGACGCUGAGGAGCGAAAGCCAGGGGAGCAAACGGG
rnacentral:rRNA from 1 species